GGGAAGAUCGAGUAAGAGGAAUGAAAAGACAGAAGAGAAAGAGAAGGAGAAUGAGGAAGAGGAAGAGGAAGAAUAAGUGUGAUGAUGAUUUUUGAUCCUUUGAUUCAUUCUAAAAAUACCCACUCCAUGCCUAUUCAUUUAGAGAGAGAGAGAGAGAGGGGAUUGGCUUGGUAUGAACUAUGAAGUUUACGAACCAAGAGCCCAUCCAAUCUCAUCAUUUAUUAUUAUUUUUACUCUCUUUUUUUAAUCUCUGAAACCAAACAAUAACAUACUUGAUCUUCUUGUUCUUUGAUUUUCUCUAUUUUAACACUCUUUCUUGCUCAUUAAUUACUCUCUCUCUCAUUUACUGUGUGUAGUGUAGUAGUGUCUUUCUUCUCUUCAUAAAUAGAACCAACCCAUCUAUCUAUCUGCUCACACCGCAUCAAAAUCCUCCCCCCCCCCCUCUCUCUCUCAAUCUUACUGUCUAUUAAUAAGGUGUGUGAGUUCCCAUGGUGAAUACAAGGACAGUGUUUGAUUUUUCAUGUGGGUUUGACAAAGGGUUCCUUGCAGAGUUUAUUGGCAUUCUGUCCACCUCCUCACGAUCCUUGCUUCAUGCUUGGAUUGAAAUACUAGAAACGAUGUCGUUUUUUUGCUGUAAUAGGGAGGAGGAGGAGGUGGGCAUGCUGCCAACUGAGCUCUGUUGGUAUCUCUUUGUAAAACCCUAAUGAUUUCUCCCUCAUAAGCUUCUUUCCCGACCGUUUCAAUUGCAUCAUGAAGAAGAUCAGACUUUUAGCUCGUCUUUGUGCAUGAUGAUAAAGGAACUUCAAUACCGGAGGCUCGUUCGGAUUGAUCUGGAUAACGGCGAUGGAAUCACUGUUGGGUGGUUAAUGGUUAGGGCGUCAUGUCUUUAGAGAUAAAGAAGAUCCUGAACUUUUUGUGCGUCGUAUACCUAUUUUUUUUGGGAACAUUCAGUUAUUUCGGUUGAUGGUCACAGAAUGAAUUGUUAAGGGUCGGUGUUCCAUUUCAAAGGACGGAAUCGAAGUAUAGUGUCGAGCAAGUAGGUGCAUCUGUUGAGUUCGGUGGUGAACUCAUUGCGUCCGUUAUAAUGAUCCCCAUCAGUUAUGAUGAUCCGUUAAAAACAUGCUAGAUAUAUAUGAUCAAUUGGAUGAAAUAUUGUGACAAGUUUUGAAAUAAUCCCUGAACUUUUGUGAAUGUAUUAAUUUAUCUUAUGAACUUCAUUUAAGAUGAUCAAUUUAGUCCCUCCACUUCCAAGCU